rfam:Mucilaginibacter sp. OK098 genome assembly, contig: Ga0066759_101
CUUGCAAAACGUUCUAUCGCUGCCCGCUAGCUAGCGAGCGGAGGAAAGUCCGGGCAACAUAGAGUAUCCUGCUUCCUAACGGGAAGGCGCCGGCAGCCGGCGACAGCAAGUGCCACAGAAAAUAAACCGCCCCGAUUUAUCAGGGUAAGGGUGAAAACGUGAGGUAAGAGCUCACGGCUUUUCCGGGCGACCGGGAUCGCGGUAAACCUCAGGAGUUGAAAAACCAAAUAGGUCCUGAAAGCGGAGCUGCUCGUUCCCUAAUCUAUUUGCCGCAAGGCAGGUAAUUUGUCAGGAUGGGUAGGUUGAUUAAACCUGUCAGCAAUGGCAGGGCCAGAUUAAUGAUAGAAGCCAAUGUAGAGACGCAAUACUUUGCGUGUUUAUAAUGGAACAGAACCCGGCUUACAGGUUUGCUGCUGAU